rnacentral:tRNA from 1 species
ACAAAGCCGGGAUAGCUCAGUUGGUAGAGCAGAGGACUGAAAAUCCUCGUGUCAC